rnacentral:rRNA from 1 species
GGAAUACGAGACGCUAAGGCGUCGAAGUAGUGUAUGUCAUACUUCCAAGAAAAGCUUGCACUGUCAUAGAUAAAAAACGCCUGUACCAUAACCGACACAGGUGGGUAGGUAGAGUAUACUAAGGGGCGCGAGAUAACUCUCUCUAAGGAACUCGGCAAAAUGACUCCGUAACUUCGGGAGAAGGAGUGCCUUAUUCUUAAGGUUGCAAUAACAAGAUCCAAGCAACUGUUUAUCAAAAACACAGGUCUCCGCUAAGUCGUAAGACGAUGUAUGGGGGCUGACGCCUGCCCAGUGCCAGAAGGUUAAAGAAGUUGGUUAGCAUUUGCGAAGCUGAUAACUGAAGCCCUGGUGAACGGCGGCCGUAACGAUAACGGUCCUAAGGUAGCGAAAUUCCUUGUCGGGUAAGUUCCGACCCGCACGAAAGGCGUAAUGAUUUGGAUACUGUCUCGGAGAGGGGCUCGGUGAAAUAGACUUGUCUGUGAACAUGCGGACUACCUGCACCAGGACAGAAAGACCCUAUGAAGCUUUACUGUAACUUGAAAUUGAAAUUGGACUUUAUUCGCGCAGUAUAGGUGGGAGGCGUUGAUUAUAAUCUUGCGGGAUUAUUGGAGCCAUCAGUGAGAUACCACCCUUGUAAUGUUAGAUUUCUAACUUUGAAUCAUUAUCUGGUCAAAGAACAGUUUCAGGCGGGCAGUUUGACUGGGGCGGUCGCCUCCUAAACGGUAACGGAGGCGUACAAAGGUUUCCUCUGAACGGUUAGAAAUCGUAUCUAGAGUGUAAAGGCAUAAGGAAGCUUGACUGUGAGACCUACAAGUCGAGCAGGGACGAAAGUCGGUCUUAGUGAUCUGACGGUACUGAGUGGAAAGGCCGUCACUCAACGGAUAGAAGUUACUCUAAGGAUAACAGGCUGAUCUCCCCCAAGAGUUCACAUCGACGGGGAGGUUUGGCACCUCGAUGUCGGCUCAUCGCAUCCUGGGGCGGUAGUACGUCCCAAGGGUUGGGCUGUUCGCCCAUGAAAGCGGUACGCGAGCUGGGUUCAGAACGUCGUGAGACAGUUCGGUCCAUAUCCGGUGUAGGCGUUAGAAUAUUGAGAGGAGCCUUCUUUAGUACGAGAGGACCGAGAAGGACAUACCUCUGGUGUACCAGUUAUCGUGCCAACGGUAAACGCUGGGUAGCUAUGUAUGGAGUGGAUAACCGCUGAAAGCAUCUAAGUGGGAAGCCCACCUCAAGAUAAGUAUUCUCAC